UUCCGUACGGGAACCUGCGGAAGGAUCAUUA
rnacentral:rRNA from 1 species